GUGUUGAGCUGAGACUGUCCUGCUGCACUCCAGCCUGGGCCACAGAGCAAGACUCUGUCUCAGUCAGUCAGUCAGCUAAUUUACUUUUGGUAGUAGGCUGAUUUAUUAAGACUGACCCUAGGAUUAAAUGUUGUCAUUUGUCUGCCCCUUAUUUUUCUUCCCUUAACAAUUGCGGUGGUGAGCUGCCUUGUCCUGACUUUGACCCACAAUGUGUGUUCAGCCUCAGGACUUAUUAUGUAGAUUAUGCUCCUUUUAAAUGUUAAUGUUUCACAUUUAUGCUUGUGUGAAUUGCUCAUUUUCUGUCAUAACCUGGGGGUAUGGAAGGAAUCUGUUGAAGACCAAGGAGGUAGGCUUUACCACAAUACUGACAUCUUUCUUCUCAGCUCAGGCAGGGAGCCUUGGCUAGCUUACCUAUUGCAGCUGCCUCAAAAGGAGGUGAUUGGCAGAAUCCUACCUGCUUUGCUUUGACUUUUCAUUGCUAGAGUGUGCUGAAGGAUGCCAGAUGUUUGGGGAAAACAAGUUCCUUUUGGCUUUCAAUCCCUAUUCUUGCCAAAUUCUUACCUGCUUUUUCAUGAGGAUGCCCUGGCUUGCAAGAAAAAAAGACAAAAACAUAAAUUUGACUCUUAAUUUGAGCAUUCUGACCCAUUUUCAGCUUUAUAUAUCCUUGGUCCAUUUUUCUUCCUGUUGUUUUGACAACUUUCAUGGUGGUGAGACUGAGUGCCUAUUCAUAGAUAGAGAGCUUUCUCUUGCGUUGAAAACAAGAAUGAUGGUUGAUAAGUUGAACAACCACAGACAAGAUUUUCAGGAAAAUUGGUAACUUAUUUUGAGAAUUUACUGCUAAUUUACUGUUGUAAGUUACAGAAACUGAACUUAAAUAUUACUAAACAACCAUAUUAAAUAUUUGCCAUAUUUUAAGUUGUUCUCUGCGUUGAGUUCACGUUAUAGGUGUAAAACAUAUUUAGUAAGUAGGUCAAAUUAUAUUAACCUAUUUUUUUUCCCGUAGGUUAAAAGACACCUGACUCUUCCAGAUAAUUUUUCAGAUUUUACCACUGGAAUUUACUUAUAUAUCCCCUAAUACUUAUAUAAUCAAUCUUGCUCUGUUAUUUACCUUUCAUAAGUACUUGAAAUGGAUAUGGCUUACAUAUUGGGGUGUGGGUUAUCCUCCAGAUGAAACUCCAAGUUUAUCAAACUUAAGAUCCGUUAUAAUGCCCAGCAACAAAAUAAUUAAAACAGACUUGAAAAGAUGAGUAGCACCCUAGCAUACUAGACAUUAAUGUUGGAGGUAUUAAAUUCCAGAUCCGGCUGUACUAGGCCUUUAUGAGAACUAACCUCUUAAAAAGGUCAGCAGCUUUCCUAGGCUUCAAAGUGCCAGAAAAAUGAGUGAAUAACCACGUUUCUGUGUGUACUUUUAGCUAUUACUUUGAAAAUUGUAAUAACUUACAUAUUGCCUGUCUAUUUUGAAUCAGCUGUGACAUCUGUAUUCUUUUCAUUAAAUCAUCUAAAUUAUAUAAACCAAUUGCCACUAAUUUUUCUUGGCAAUAGUGCUUUGGAAGAAUUAAAUAUAUUUGAACUGUAUAUUGAAGUAGCCAAAGUGACCUUCAGAAGGAAUGUAAGUAUCUUAAACAUAAUAUUUUGUCUUACUUAGUUGUCACAAGGACAUUAUUUGGAUGGUCAUGUCCCCCUACUCUUAGCCCUUGCAAAUCUCCAUGUGCAGUGAGCAAGCAGUAUUACUGCUGGAGUAUAUUCUUGUCUCUGAAGUAGAGACACAAAAAGGGCUGAGCUCUGGUGCUCUGUUAUUCUGCUAGAUUGGUCACAAAUUUCUGGAGAAUUGUGUU